rnacentral:tRNA from 1 species
CCUGGUGGCUCAGAUGGUAAAGUGUCUGCCUACAAUGCAGGAGACCCAGGUUCAAUCCCUGGGUCAGGA